UACGGAGGAUGCAAGCGUUAUCCGGAAUGAUUGGGCGUAAAGCGUCCGCAGGUGGCAAUGUAAGUCUGCUGUCAAAGCGUCUGGCUCAACCAGAUAAAGGCAGUGGAAACUAACAUAGCUAGAGUAAGGUAGGGGUAGAGGGAAUUCCUGGUGUAGCGGUGAAAUGCGCAGAUAUCAGGAGGAACACCGGUGGCGAAGGCGGGUCUCUGGGCCGAUACUGACGUGAGGAGCGAAAGCGUGGGGGAGCGAACAGG
rnacentral:rRNA from 1 species